CUAGCGUUACAAGCAAGCCGCUAUAGCAAUUCAGUGUGCUUGGAGACAAAAGCUUCCAAGAAGGGAGCUAAGGAAACUCAGAAUGAUUCUUGUAUGGAAAGAAGAAAGAUAGGAUUGACCUUGUGCACUGAUGGUUGUAUGGACGUCGAUGGCCGUCGCCGGUCAAAGGAGUAUGAUGGCAGACGUUGUGGGGAUGCCGCACUCAGCCUACCACGAGCUCCGGAUCAAGACGAUGGCGGCCGACGAGCAGAGUUUGCUCGUUGAGGAGGUGGAGGCGAGCGUUGGCAAGGGUUCGUUCGGAAGAGCAGGUGGCGUACAAGAUCGUGUGGAGAUCCAACGACCGGAAGUUCGGCUCCGUAGAGGACGCCAUUACAGAACUAGAAGAAUUCCAAGAAAGAUCAUUGCUUCAAGACUGGUAGCGGCCACAACAUAUUUGACAUCAAAACUAGAUCUGGGUCCUAGAUAUCCGGUCUUGCUCGGUGAUAUUUCUAUUUUCCAUUGUGUUAUAUACCUAUAUGAUUGAUUUGCUACAUGAGGUAGUGAGAAAAUCACCUGAUACAAGGUCAAACUAAAUUUCCAUUUCUACAAUACUAGCUACUAACCAACAAUAUGUGUUAACGAUCUCAUCACAGAGUGAUUAGUCAUAGUAGACUAUGUGCGAGCUUAUGUGAGUCCAAUCAAUCCAUCUUUUACUGGCAUGACCCAUUGUGUAAUCGGGAUUAUCCGCACCAACCUUCAUAGACUCCUAAAUAGCGGGGGUGAAUCGUGUUGCAAGGUGAAAACCUAGCGCCACCAAUCCCGUGCGUCUUCGAGAAGCCAAUCCAGCCUCGCUCCCCUCCCUCUCCACUACGCCACCGUCUCCCCCCUUCUGCCCUGCUCUCCACCGCGCCGCUGCCUCCUCCCCUUUUGCCCUGCUCUCCACCACACUGCCUCCUCCUCCCUUUUACUGUCCUCUCCAGCGGCUAGCAAAGUGAGACGACGACAGCGCUCGAUUCGAUCUACGGAAGAGAGAAUACGAGAGGGAGAGAGACAAGGAAGUGGAGGAGAGGAGAUGAGGGAGAAAGAGAUUGCAAAGAGGAGAGGAGGUGUGUCAGCAGAUGAGAGAUGGUCGCCAGAAGGAGCGCCCACUUUUCUCUUCGACGGUGGCGGAGCACCCACUUUUCUCUUCAGUGGUGGCGACGACUUGCAGGCAAAGAGCAACACCACCGCCACUCGAUUUAAUAUGCAGGAGAGAGAAGAUGAGAGGGAGAGAAGCAUGGAGAGGAGAGGAGGUCCGACGGCGGACGGGACAGGAUCACCGGAAAGAGUGCCACUGGCUACUCUUUUGUAGUAUACGAGUUAAUAGUAUAGAUUCACCUACUCAUUUUGUUAAAAAUACGAGUUAUGUUAGAGACUAAUACAUGCCUUUGUGUGCUAAUUAGAGUUAGCAAAGUGUACUCUGGGAUUCAUAUCACAAGAGAGAGGGUCUUGGACUUGGAUUGAGAUGAUUAUAUGGAGAAGGCACAUCGAAAGAGGCACAUGUUUUAUUUUUCUCUCUUCUGCCUAAUUGCACGGAUAUGAUAAUUUGUAUGCAUUAUUUGUUGUAUGAUUCAGAUAUAUUAACAUGUGCAAAUGAUGAAUCAUAUUGGAUUGAGAGUACGAAGUGUUGACUGAUUUUAUGAAGGAAGUUGAUUAUAUUAUAUCAUUCUCCUGAUUUUUACUCGAUAUCUGCUUAGAUGGGAGAAUAAUUUACCCAUCUUUUAUUUGUUUCGAUUGUUCGUUGCCCCUUGGCGUGUUCAAUAGAAACCAUCACCUAUCGCUGACUCGCUGCUAUAUAUUGGCUUCAUUAAGAGAGAGUAAUGAUGCAAUAAAUAUCUGAAGGUGGAGAUGCAGAUUUUGGAGAAAAACCAAGAAGGCUAACAUCGACCAUCGACCGAGAAAAAAAUACAUAUUCAGGGUAAAAAAAAUCUCCUUCGUUACAGGCUUUCAUUCAUGAUGGGCCGACCUUGAAGUCUUAACGUUUACCCUUUCCAACAUGCAACACUCGCGAUGUGGUGCUUAAUCCUGCUAAAUUUUUUUGUCUAUUAAUUUUUAUGUUUUUUUCACCUCAGAUAUUGUAUUUAUUUCGGUUGGGUUCUAACUAGAGAUGCACAUAAAUAACUUGGUUCUCGGUAUCAUAAAACAAACAAGGCACAAACCUAGAAGGUUAUUGAUUA